AGAGUAAGAGUGAGAGAGAGUAAGAGAGAGAGUGAGAGUGUUUUAUGAUUCAGUUGUUCAUCUUUAAAAGUGCUUCCUAGUUUUCAUUGAACAUCGAGGUAGCAUUAUCCACAAACUGUAAAGCGACGCCCCCACUGUCUCGUUUCAAACUGAGCAACACGUGUUUGUAUAAACAACGACGUGACGUGCAUGCCGAGUCUGACACAAAGGUAACUGAUCCUUUCUUUCUUUUUUUUGUCUUUUCUAAACGGGCUGCGUUCAACGUGUCUCCGGCGUUGGAGACGCUGAAACACUGAUCUUUUUGUACAAUCCUGGUCGUUGUACUAUAUUUUAUGAUGUCGUUUUUUUUGGACAGGAGGUGAAGCGACAGCUUUGAGACUGAAGGACUCUUUUUCUCCUCACUGUGUGUGUGCACUAUCUCUGCCUCCGAUGAAGCAAUCUGAAGGUUAUUUAACACAAAAAAAACUACAAUUUGUAAUCUUUUGUAUCCAUGUUUAAUUUAUUGAUUAGAACAAUGACUGUUUAUUGACAUUGUGAUUAUUAUUAUGCACUGACAACAAGGCCCUUAUACUGUGUUCAUGUUUCUUUUUGUUCUUGUUUUUGCAUGACUGGCACUUUGGGUUUUUUUUGUUGUCCUUUCCGUUUCUGUGAUCAGCCUUAAUUUCUGAUAGUCGAGCACAACAGCAGUCUCAGGGGAAGAAGUGCAUUUGUGUGCGUGUUCAGAGAGUGUGUGUGUGUGUGUGUGUGUGUGUGUGUGUGUGUGUGUGUGUGUGUGUGUGUUACCCAUGGCUUCGUCUCUUCCUGUAUAUAACGACCCCACGAUCUUCAACGAGGGGUCGAUGUGCACAUGCCAUCUUUUUUGAACCGUGUUGCUGUUGCACAUCUCCGCCCUCCUCACUCUUCUUGUAACAAGGUAUUUCAGUCAGCUGCUCGAAUGUGGAGACAAUCCUGAGCCACCUCCCACCAUCACGUCCUUGUUUCUGGUGACAUGAUAGCAGGACUUUGGCGGUCCACAUGUCGAGUUUUGUGCCAUCGGGUAACUUUAGUCGAGGAUUAUUCCUGCCAUCUGUAACCACUGAAGACGUUUUUUAGUUUUGAAUGAAGUUAGUGUACAGUGGUGUUGUAGUACCGCAAAUCUCAGUCUCGAGACCACUUUUUGAAGGACUCGUCUCAGUAUCAGACUGGGUGGACUCCGGAUUUUAAAUCCAGACCGGACCAGACCACCACUGAUUGGCUAUUUUUCCAAGUCACUCUGAUUUGAAAGAACACGCCCCUUUCUUAAACAACACAUAACUUCAAUUUAUUCAGAAUUCGAUUUUUAUCCCCCUUGGUCUUGAUUCAGCAUCGAUCUUUAAAGGUCUUGGUCUUGAUUCGGCCUCGAUCCCUAAAGGUCUUGGUCUUGAUUCGGCCUCGAUCCCUAAAGGUCUUGGUCUUGAUUCGGCCUCGAUCCCUAAAGGUCUUGGUCUUGAUUCGGCCUCGAUCCCUAAAGGUCUUGGUCUUGAUUCGGCCUCAAUCCCUAAAGGUCUUGGUCUUGACUCGGCCUCGAUCCCUAAAGGUCUUGGUCUUGAUUCGGCCUCGAUCCCUAAAGGUCUUGGUCUUGAUUCGAUGGUCUUGAUUCGGCCUCAAUCCCUAAAGGUCUUGGUCUUGACUCGGCCUCGAUCCCUAAAGGUCUUGGUCUUGACUCGGCCUCGAUCCCUAAAGGUCUUGGUCUUGAUUCAACCUCGAUCCCUAAAGGUCUUGGUCUUGACUCAGCCUCGAUCCCUAAAGGUCUUGGUCUUGAUUCGUUGGUCUUGACUCGGCCUCGAUCCCUAAAAGUCUUGGUCUUGAUUCGGCCUCGAUCCCUAAAUGUCUCGGCCUUGUCUCGGUCUCGGAGCACUCUGGUCUCGGGUAUGUCUUGGUCUCGGUUGGUGUGGUCUUGACUACAACACUAGCGUACAGUUUGAUUUGUAUUUCUGCUCGUUGUGUUUCAGAGAGGAUUUAUAAAAAGUAACGAUCCCGUUUUCUGUCCAUUAAACUCAUUUCCUGUUUUUGUAUUUUUUUUUGGAAAUGUCCGUCAAACGAUUGACUUCUUCUUCAUGUUUAUAUUUACAUAUCAAUAUAACACUCCUGAUAUAGCAGGGAGUUAGCCACCAGGGGGGGUCUGGAUCCAGCGCUCCUGGUCCCCUCUGAAGCUCGUGUUGUAGUUCUAUAAAGAGAAAAACAUUCAGAUUAAAGGGUUUGUAUAUAAGUGAAUGUUUCCCCGUGUAAAUGUCUACUUUAAAAAAAACACCCGAUCAAAUAACAUAUUCAGCAAAUAUACAUUUUGUAAUUAAUGUUACUACACUGUUGAUGUGAUGGCAUGUGUAUGAGCUUUUAUCAGCAUUAAAAUAAAUAUAUCAUUGCCAUA